rnacentral:tRNA from 1 species
GGGGGUAUAGCUCAGUAGUAGAGCGCCCGCAUACGUAUCGGAAGGUCGGGGGUUCGACUCCCUCUGCCUGCA